UGAAGCUUGAAAUUUUAAUUAAAAGUGAUACAAGCUAAUGAUAUUUGAACCACACAAAUGGAAAAGAAUAUCGUUAAGGUUUUCAAAAUAGUUUACGUUAUGAUUAUUAUUAGUUUUCUACUUCUUAAUGCAAAUGAAGGUUACGUUGUUAUUACAGAGACAGAUGUUCCAUGUAAAAUACGUCAAGAUUGUUCUAAAACUUUGUGUACUUUUGGCUCUUCACGAAAAUGUAAUCGAGCAGGUUAUUGUGUAUGUGUUUCACACGUUCUCGAUUAGAUAUUAUGAUGGCAUCCAAUAAUUCAAUUUCUUAUUUAAUUUUUAUAAUUUUAUGAAACUUGUAGUUACUUUCUUAUUUAAUUUUUACAAUUUUAUGAAACUUACUACUUUGUAAGUUAAAAUGAUACAAAUAAAAUGAAAUAUAACAUUAAUGCCUAUUUUAUCA